AGAGAGAGACAUGCGCGCAUAUCAAUAAGCGGAGGAAAAGAAACUAACAAGGAUUCCCCUAGUAACGGCGAGUGAAGCGGGAAGAGCUCAAAUUUGUAAUCUUAAAGGGUUUCCCUUUACGAAUUGUAGUUUAAAGAAGUGUUUUCUGUUGAGGUUUUGGUAAAAGUUCUUUGGAAUAGGACAUCAUAGAGGGUGAGAAUCCCGUAUUUGACCUUUACUUUCAACUUUGUGAUACACUUUCAAAGAGUCGGAUUGUUUGGGAAUGCAGUCCAAAAUGGGUGGUAAAUUUCAUCUAAAGCUAAAUAUUGGCGAGAGACCGAUAGCGAACAAGCACCGUGAGGGAAAGAUGAAAAGAACUUUGAAAAGAGAGUUAAACAGUACGUGAAAUUGUCAAAAGGGAAGCGUUUGACACCAGUGUUGUUUUUCUGAAAAUCAAUUAAAGAACUGUUUAUGCUAAGCUGUUUAGACUUUAUCAGCUAUCUGUUUAGUUUUGAGCUUUUCUUUAAUGCACUUUUCAGUUAACAAGUCAACAUCAAUUUCUUUUGCUGUAAAAAAGCUUGAGGAAGGUGGCUUGAGAUUCGUCUUAAGUGUUUAUAGCCUCUUGCCUAUGCAGUCGGAGAGAUUGAGGUCUGCAGCGUAGAUCCUUCGGGGCUAAAUGCAUUUGUGCUAAGUUAUAGCAUUUUAUAGACAACUUGUUGACUAUGAUUUGUCUUGUAGCUUACUCGCUUAUGUUAUUUUACCUACGCUUAGGAUGUUGACGCAUGAGAUAUACGC
rnacentral:rRNA from 1 species